AUACUUACCUGGCAGCAGAGAUGCCAUGAUCACGAAGGUGGUUCUCCUGGGGCGAGGCUGAUCCCCUGCACUCUGGAUGUGCUGACCCCUGUGAUUUUCCCAAAUGUGGGAAACUUGACUGCAUAAUUUGUGGUAGUGGGGGACUACCCCUGCGUUCAUGCUUUCCCCUA